rnacentral:lncRNA from 1 species
CGGCGUUUGUUUCUAAAAACGCUGCUAAAGUUAGCGACGCUGUCAUUAGCGACGUUUUUUGUGGCGUUUCUCAAAGCGCCGCAAAUACUUUUAGCGGCGCUAAAAAGCGUCGCUAAAGACCUAAAAAAGCGCCGCUAAAAGUUUGUUUUGGUGUAGUGAUACUAUUCUCUUACUAUUUCUUCAUAAGCAUAUAUCAUUCAUUUCGUUAUAUCAAUAUUUCAUGCACCAUCAUUUCCUUAUAUUUUAUGUAUAUUUAUUUCGAUAAUAGUUCGUAUUAAACUUAAC